UGGGGAAUAUUGCACAAUGGGGGAAACCCUGAUGCAGCGACGCCGCGUGAGCGAAGAAGGUUUUCGAAUCGUAAAGCUCUGUCCUAUGGGAAGAUAAUGACGGUACCAUAGGAGGAAGCCCCGGCUAACUACGUGCCAGCAGCCGCGGUAAUACGUAGGGGGCAAGCGUUGUCCGGAAUCACUGGGCGUAAAGGGUUCGCAGGCGGAAAUGCAAGUCAGUUGUGAAAGGCAGAGGCUCAACCUCUGUAAGCAAUUGAAACUGUAUUUCUUGAGAUGUGGAGAGGCAAGUGGAAUUCCUAGUGAAGCGGUGAAAUGCGUAGAUAUUAGGAAGAAUACCGGUGGCGAAGGCGACUUGCUGGACACAAACUGACGCUGAGGAACGAAAGCGUGGGUAGCAAACAGG
rnacentral:rRNA from 1 species